rnacentral:rRNA from 1 species
GACAGAGGGGGCAAGCGUUGCUCGGCAUUACUGGGCGUAAAGCGCGCGCAGGCGGCUCUUUAAGUCUACCCGUGAAAUGCCGGAGCUCAACUCCGUGCACGCCGGGGGAUACUGGAGAGCUGGAGACGAGUAGAGGCAAGCGGAAUUCCGGGUGUAGCGGUGGAAUGCGUAGAGAUCCGGAAGAACGCCGGAGGCGAAGGCGGCUUGCUGGGCUUGGUCUGACGCUGAGGCGCGAAAGCGUGGGGAGCGAACAGG